AUCUGGGCGGCGAAAUUCAGGAUGGCUGGGCCGGCCUCGCGCUGGUCCGGCCGUUUGAUGUUUUCGUCGCCACUCGCAGACGUCGCGACCUGUUCGUCGUCGGUCCCUGCUCGGAGGAGUCGCUGUCGAGUUCGUUGUGGGCGCGUUUCGGCGCGUUUCACGGCGAAGACGCGGAUCUCUGGCUGACGACGGACAGUAAGCAACGGUGGCCGGCGUCGUGUCUCGCACGCGACGUCGGUGCCGGUCAGCGACGAUUUCUUCGGGCCUCUUUCCGACCCGUCUUGAAACACGGACCAAGGAGUCUAACAUGCGCGCGAGUCGCGGGGUAUCGAGCGUACCACGGUGCGCUCGUUACGUCACGAAACCCGUAAUGUUGAAGGCGUAAUGAAAGUGAAUGGGGAAGAUGGCGUUCCGAGUACACGUUCCGUGGUCUAGUAUCGCGGCCGGACGCCCGCAUUCCCGGGGCGUCUCAACGGCUCGUCGCGAAUGCGGACGGUCGCCUUUCGGGGUGGCCGUCGGUUUGCGACGGACCGA
rnacentral:rRNA from 1 species